rnacentral:rRNA from 1 species
CAGCCGCCGCGGUAAUACGUAGGUGGCAAGCGUUGUCCGGAAUUAUUGGGCGUAAAGGGCUCGCAGGCGGUUUCUUAAGUCUGAUGUGAAAGCCCCCGGCUCAACCGGGGAGGGUCAUUGGAAACUGGGAAACUUGAGUGCAGAAGAGGAGGGUGGAAUUCCACGUGUAGCGGUGAAAUGCGUAGAGAUGUGGGGGAACACCAGUGGCGAAGGCGACUCUCUGGUCUGUAACUGACGCUGAGGAGCGAAAGCGUGGGGAGCGAACAGGAUUAGAUACCCGUGUAGUCCCUGUCUCUUAUAC